UAUUUUAAUUAUAAGUGGAGUGCUUUCUGAUUCUAUUCAGAGUGUGGAGUUCAACGAGACAAAUGAAUUGUAUUCUACAAAUUCGCAGGUAACCGUAUUGGAAGCGGAGUUACAUGGACAGGAAAAGCUAAACAAUGAUUUAACUAAGGAAGCAUCUAUGCAUAAUUUGAGAUUUUAUGGACGCAAUUGUGCUGAGGCUACUGCAAGUGCUAAACAUAGUGGAGUGUACGAGAUACUUAUAGCUAGCUACAGUGAACACCCUUUUAAAGUGGCUUGCGAUGUGGACACUAGAGAAGGCGGUUGGACGAUCAUUCUGCGUCGUUUGGAUGGAAGUGAAAACUUUUAUCGAAACUGGAACACUUACAAAAGGGUUUCGGGAAUUUGGAGGGUGAAUUCUUCUUGGGACUCGACAAAAUACACGCACUUACAGCAGACUUUAGUCAGGAGCUGCUUGUGAUUCUCGAGGAUAAUGAUGGAAUUGAAGCAUUUGAGACUUAUGACAGAUUUGGUAUCACAGACGAGGAUGAACAAUAUGCUUUAAAUACGUUGGGAAAAGCCAGUGGCACAGCUGGUGAUUCACUAACAUAUCAUCAUACCAUGAAAUUUACCACAUUUGAUCGGAAAAAUGAUAAUUGGAAUGGGGGAAACUGUGCCGAGUACAGCAAUGGCGCCUGGUGGUACGAUAAAUGUCAACGGAGCAACUUGGCGGGCAAGUAUAAUAACUUCACACUUCAAAGAGGCGUCAAUUGGCAUACCUUUCGGGGUCUGAAUUAUUCCCUAAAAAGUGCCGUAAUGAUGAUACGGCCCAGAAAGUGAAUUCGAAGCCUCAAUAAUCAGCUUUAAGCAUUUGAAAACUUGUUAGAUUCAUUAAUCUCAAUUAAAAUAUGCAUGUUCUUAGCAGGUAAUUACUAAUAAUUAUUU